rnacentral:rRNA from 1 species
AUUGAACGCUGGCGGCAUGCCUUACACAUGCAAGUCGAACGGCAGCACGGGAGCUUGCUCCUGGUGGCGAGUGGCGAACGGGUGAGUAAUACAUCGGAACGUACCCAGGAGUGGGGGAUAACGUAGCGAAAGUUACGCUAAUACCGCAUAUUCUGUGAGCAGGAAAGCGGGGGAUCGCAAGACCUCGCGCUCUUGGAGCGGCCGAUGUCGGAUUAGCUAGUUGGUGAGGUAAAAGCUCACCAAGGCGACGAUCCGUAGCAGGUCUGAGAGGAGGAUCUGCCACACUGGGACUGAGACUCGGCCCAGGCUACUAGGGGAGGCAGCAGUGGGGGAUUUUGGACAAUGGGGGCAACCCUGAUCCAGCCAUGCCGCGAGAGUGAAGAAGGCCUUCGGGUUGUAAAGCUCUUUCGGCGGGGAAGAAAUGGCAACGGCUAAUAUCCGUUGUUGAUGACGGUACCCGCAUAAGAAGCACCGGCUAACUACGUGCCAGCCGCCGCCGUAAAAC